rnacentral:tRNA from 1 species
GUCAGUAUGUCCGAGUGGUUAAGGAGAUAGACUUGAAAUCUAUUGGGCUUUGCCUGCGCAGGUUCGAAUCCUGCUGUUGACG